GUUAUACAAAAUACCCCUUGCUCAUUAAUAAAUAAUAGUCCUCUAUUAUUUCUACUCAAUUCCAACGGAUUACCCUAAAAAUCAAAUGGCAAGUCAGUUUCAAGAAGUCUUGGUUUUCUGCUCAAUCACUCCAAGAUGCUAAGGCUUUUUGAAAUAGAUUAUAUGAAUAUUCAGGUCAGUCUGUUUUCUGCAGUGACUCAUAAUUGGGAUUCAGACAGGACCAGACUUGUCUGCUGAUGUGGUAUGGCAGGCCUGCCAGAAGGCUUGCUUUGUUUUGUUGGUUGAAAAGGAAAGAGGCAGGCGCCCAAGUCCCAAAGGGAAGCAGCUGUAGGGUAAAGGGUUAGAAUUUCAGCGGCAUUCCUUGGGCAGCCCCGUGGGUGUGGGGUUGAGUCGAUGGAGAGAACAGCUGCAGGCAGAAGCUGAAGGAACUGUUUUUAUAGGGGCCUCUGUGUGACACCCUGAGACAUGAGGAUGUGGGCAGUGCCACGAUUAUGCCCAGGAAAGAAAACCAUGUGGAUAGCUGAGAUCUUCUGUGAAGAAAGGAAAAGACAAAAGGCCGUAGAUCCAAAACUUAUAGAAAAUCAACGUUUAGAAUUUCAACUGUGGAGGAAGGACCAAAAAAAUGCAAGAAGCAGGAAAAAAUGUGCCCCUCAGUUGCUUGGCACGGAGCCAGAUUCGCUAGGACUUUCCGAGCACACCACUGUCAGGAAGCCACGGAAGCCGUGCGCAUCGCCGCCCGAGCAGCCCAGGGCGCUCUGCGGGCUCCGGCACUCUGUCCAGUGCUCUCGACUUGCGCUUCACUUCACGCUGAAAACCCAGCGCUUUGUGUUCAGUUUAAGGUCUUCCCAACGUGUGAGGUUAAGAAGACAUCUUUACCUGUUUAAAUCAGGGAAGCAAUGGACAUGAUUAAAUAGAAAUCAUACUUUACGUAGUAUUAAAGGUGACAUCCAUCUAUGUAAAUUUAGUGUAAUGGAAGACUUAGUUUAUAACUAAGAAUGUAAUAUUCUUAAUCCAAAAAUAAAAACCUGCUUUGCUUGACAAAGGUUACUGAAUUGAUGUUUUGUAGUGUGUUUAGGUGCCAAAAAAGCCAUUUUGGUUUCAGCAAAGAAUAGUCAUUUUCCAAUUCACAUCAUAUAAUUCCAGUGUUGUAGGUCAAAACACAUCCUUCUUCCCUUGAAAAACAAAGACAAGGGACCCUGUAUGGUUUGCUCUUAUGUUGUUGUUUUAUUUUGUUUUGAUACGUCCCAAGAUUUCUGCUUUAUUGGCUAUGCCAAAGCCUUUGACUGUGUGGAUCACA
rnacentral:lncRNA from 1 species